rnacentral:rRNA from 1 species
GGAUGCGAUGAUACCAGCACUAAAGCACCGGAUCCCAUCAGAACUCCGAAGUUAAGCGUGCUUGGGGGAGAGUAGUACUAGGAUGGGUGACCUCCUGGGAAGUCCUUGUGUUGCAUUCC